rnacentral:rRNA from 1 species
AUUGAACGCUGGCGGCAGGCUUAACACAUGCAAGUCGAGCGAGCGGCGGACGGGUGAGUAAUGUCUGGGAAACUGCCUGAUGGAGGGGGAUAACUACUGGAAACGGUAGCUAAUACCGCAUACCAUCAGAUGUGCCCAGAUGGGAUUAGCUAGUAGGUGGGGGAAUGGCUCACUCAGGCGACGAUCCCUAGCUGGUCUGAGAGGAGGACCGGCCCCACUGGAACGGAGACACGGCCCAGACUCCUACGGGAGGCGGCAGUGGGGAAUAUUGGACAAGGGGGGCAAGCCUGAUGCAGCCCUGCCGCGGGGGUGAAGAGGGCCUUCGGGUGGUAAAGCACUUUCAGCGAGGAGGCGUUACUCGCAGAAGAAGCACCGGCUAACUCCGUGCCAGCCGCCGCGGUAAUUC